UACAGAGACUGCAAGCGUUAUUCGGAUUCACUGGGCGUAAAGGGUGCGCAGGCGGCCAAGUGUGUGAGGCGUGAAAGCCCGGGGCUUAACCCCGGAAUUGCACCUCAAACUACUCGGCUAGAGCAUUGGAGAGGGUAGCAGAAUUCAUGGUGUAGCAGUGAAAUGCGUAGAUAUCAUGAGGAAUACCGGAGGCGAAGGCGGCUACCUGGACAAUUGCUGACGCUCAGGCACGAAAGCGUGGGGAGCAAAAGGG
rnacentral:rRNA from 1 species